GGUUACGGUCAUACCACCCUGAACACGCCGAUCGUCGAUCUCGGUAGCUAAGCAGGGUCGGGCCUGGUUAGUACUUGGAUGGGAGACCGCCUGGGAAUACCAGGUGCUGUAAGCU
rnacentral:rRNA from 1 species